GAUGAACGCUGGCGGCGUGCCUAAUACAUGCAAGUCGAGCGAACAGACGAGGAGCUUGCUCCUCUGACGUUAGCGGCGGACGGGCGAGUAACACGUGGAUAACCUACCUCUAAGACUUGGAUAACUUCGGGAAACAGGAGCUAAUACCGCAUAAUAUAUUGUACCGCAUGGUUCAAUAGUGCAAGGCGGCUUUGCUGUCACUUAUAGAUGGAUCCGCGUCGCAUUAGUUAGUUGGUAAGGUAACGGCUUACCAAGGCAACGAUGCGUAGCCGAACUGAGAGGGUGAUCCGCCACAAUGGAACUGAGACACGGUCCAGACUCCUACGGGAGGCAGCAGUUGGGAAUAUUGCCCAAUGGGCGGAAGCCUGAACGAGCCAUCGCGGGUGGGUGAAGAAGGCCUUCGGGUUGUAAAACCCUUUUGUUGGGAAAGAAAAAAAGGUGGAGGAAACUAGGCUGUUCUGACGGUAACCAAUCAGAAAGCCACGGCUAACUACGUG
rnacentral:rRNA from 1 species